AAAGAAAAGAAAAAUAAAACCCUCGGCUGAUUUCCUCAAGAUGUCUCUUACUUUUGGAAAACUACGCAAAUGCAGCUUGAGUGCUGUGUGGAGUGGUCCAGCCUGUCCCACGCCCGCCCGGCGUCUGGAGGGGCUGCCGAGGGUACGUGCAGCCUGGGCAUCGGGGAGGUACGAAGAUGGUUCAGAAUCUGUUCAAGCCGGGAUACUUAUUAGGUUUCUGCUUAUGUAUUCAUUUGGCACAUGCUUACCUAGUGCUUACUAUAUGUCAGGUUCUGCUCCAGGUCCUGGAAGUAGAGGGAUGAGCAAGAUGGUCCCUAUCCUCAUGGAACUUACAGGUUAGUAAGGAAAAUGGUAGUUGGAUAAAUAAAUGACAUGCAUAGUGAUUUAAUUACA
rnacentral:lncRNA from 12 species